CACGCAGGCGGUCGUGUAAGUUUGGGGUUACAGCUCCCGGCUCAACUGGGAGAGCGCCUUGAAGACUGCAGGACUUGAGGGCCAGAGAGGGACACAGAAUUCCGGGUGUAGUGGUGAAAUGCGUAGAUAUCCGGAGGAAUACCAAAGGCGAAGGCAGUGUCCUGGUUGGUGACUGACGCUGAGGUGCGAAAGCUAGGGGAGCGAACGGGAUUAGAUACCCCGGUAGUCCUAGCUGUAAACGAUGACCACUAGGUGUGGGAGGUAUCGACCCCUUCCGUGCCGCAGCUAACGUGAUAAGUGGUCCGCCUGGGGAGUACGGUCGCAAGAUUAAA
rnacentral:rRNA from 1 species